GAUGAACGCUGGCGGCGUGCUUAACACAUGCAAGUCGAACGUGAACCAGCAGCAAUGUUGGGGAAAGUGGCGGACGGGUGAGUAACACGUGGGUGACCUGCCUUGCAGCGGGGGAUAACGAGGGGAAACCUUCGCUAAUACCGCAUAGGCUUACACUGAUGGGAAUGGUGUGGGUAAAACUUUGGUGCUGCAAGAGGGGCCUGCGUCCGAUUAGCUAGUUGGUGAGGUAAAGGCUCACCAAGGCGAUGAUCGGUAGCUGGUCUGAGAGGACGAUCAGCCACACGGGAACUGAGAAACGGUCCCGACUCCUACGGGGGGCAGCAGUGAGGAAUAUUGGGCAAUGGGCUAACGCCUGACCCAGCAACGCCGCGUGGAGGAUGAAGGUUUUUGGAUUGUAAACUCCUUUUGUGGGGAAGAGUGAGGACGGUACCCCAAGAAUAAGUCACGGCUAACUACGUG
rnacentral:rRNA from 1 species